UUACCAACCUUUGACAUCCCGAUCGCGGGCACCAGAGAUGGAGCCUUUCAGUUCGGCUGGAUCGGAGACAGGUGCUGCAUGGCUGUCGUCAGCUCGUGUCGUGAGAUGUUGGGUUAAGUCCCGCAACGAGCGCAACCCUCGCCCUUAGUUGCCAUCAUUCAGUUGGGCACUCUAAGGGGACUGCCGGUGAUAAGCCGGAGGAAGGUGGGGAUGACGUCAAGUCCUCAUGGCCCUUACAGGUUGGGCUGCACACGUGCUACAAUGGCGGUGACAGAGGGAUGCAAUGGAGCAAUCCUGCGCAAAUCUCAAAAAGCCGUCUCAGUUCGGAUUGUGCUCUGCAACUCGAGCACAUGAAGUUGGAAUCGCUAGUAAUCGCAGAUCAGCACGCUGCGGCGAAUACGUUCCCGGGCCUUGUACACACCGCCCGUCACA
rnacentral:rRNA from 1 species